GGGACAAGAGUUACGAUUCAGUAUAAAAAAAAAUGUUAUCUAGUGAAAUCUAUGAUCAAAAAAUUAAGAAAAAAGCCCACUGAAAUCAUAUGAACAUAAAAUAUACAUAUAAGUUUUCUACAAAAUGCUUCUUGUUACUGGAAUACAAUGGCAGUGAUGUUCUCAUUUUCCAGCUCCAUUGUCAUAAGGAGUUUCUGGGUUUUCCAUCCAUUACCUCUUUUAUUUUAACAACAACUCUGGUAGAUAAAACUAUCACUAGUGCUCAUCAGUCCCUGAUUAUCUUUUUUUCCCAGGCAGACAGAAGACUGCAUUUUCCAGCCUCUCCCUGGCUGGGUGUGGCUGUGUGUUUAGUUCCAGGCAUUGGGCAGGGAAAAGAAGUGAUGUGUGCACCCUCAGGCCAAAGCACUCUGCAGGAAAAUAGAGUUUUAACCCCUGCCAUUGUUCAGCUCAUUUUCUCAGAGGUCACAGCCCAUUCUGCGGGUGUCAAUACCAUGAUUGCUUCUAGAAUCCCGAUGAUCGGCUGGUUCAUUUGUGUGACUUUAUUGAACAUUUGACAAGAACAUUGAUAAUAAAUGAGGGCUCCUGUUCCAGUGGCCUCACUGCUUUCUAAUAGCCUUCACUGGCUUACUGGCUGUACCACAUUUCUGGUGCUCAAUGAUGAAGAACAAGUCACCAGCCAUCUGGGUCUCAGUUGUCUCAUCUGUAAGGUAAAAUGGUGACACUCAAUGAUCUUUAAGUUUCCUUUCAGUUCUAACACUCACUGUUUCAAUGGUUGUCCGCUCUAAUUGGCUUAUAAUCAACCCUAAAACUCCUUCUCAUUUUUGGGUAGUGGAAUGAAGAACCUCUCUGUACAGUUCAAGAUUGAGAAAAUCUCAUUCCAGGAACUUGAAGCUCUCUGUUACAGUCACCUGGCUCAUUUCUGACCUUGAUAAGCCAUUCCUUGACUGCCAUGAAACUCAUUACUUAUAAGAGAUUUGCUGUGGCCCUAGUUACUCUGCUUUGGAAGAAAUAAAGUUCUCCUGCCUCUUUUCUAAUCUUCA
rnacentral:lncRNA from 1 species